rnacentral:rRNA from 1 species
UACGAAGGGGGCUAGCGUUGCUCGGAAUUACUGGGCGUAAAGCGCACGUAGGCGGUCUUUUAAGUCGGGGGUGAAAUCCUGGAGCUCAACUCCAGAACUGCCUUCGAUACUGGAAGACUCGAGUCCGGGAGAGGUGAGUGGAACUGCGAGUGUAGAGGUGAAAUUCGUAGAUAUUCGCAAGAACACCAGUGGCGAAGGCGGCUCACUGGCCCGGUACUGACGCUGAGGUGCGAAAGCGUGGGGAGCAAUCAGG